UUUAUUGGAGAGUUUGAUCCUGGCUCAGGACGAACGCUGGCGGCGUGCCUAAUACAUGCAAGUCGAGCGAACUG
rnacentral:rRNA from 1 species